rnacentral:rRNA from 1 species
UCGAGGAUCUUUAGCAAUGGGGGAAACCCUGACUAUGCGACGCCGCGUGAGGGAUGAAGGUUUUCGGAUCGUAAACCUCUUUCGAUGGGGAAGAACAUCUGCAUUAAUAGUGCAGACUGACGGUACCUAGAGAAGAAGCCACGGCCAACUCCGUGCCAGCAGCCGCGGUAAUACGGAGGUGGCGAGCGUUACUCGGAUUCAUUGGGUGUAAAGGGCAGGUAGGUGUUCCGCCAAGUUGGUAGUGAAAUCCUUUGGCUCAACCAAAGAACUGCUUCCAAAACUGGCGGAAUUGAGGAUGAAAGAGGAGAGCGGAAUUCCCGGUGUAAGAGUGAAAUCUGUAGAUAUCGGGAGGAACACCCGUGGCGAAAGCGGCUCUCUGGUUCAACCCUGACACUGAACUGCGAAAGCUAGGGGAGCAAACAGG